rnacentral:tRNA from 2 species
AUUAAAUUAGUUUAAAACAAAACACUAGGUUGUGGUUCUAGAAAAGAAAUAUUUUUCAUUUAAUC